UGCAGUCGAGCGGUAACAGAUCUAGCUUGCUAGAUGCUGACGAGCGGCGGACGGGUGAGUAAUGCAUAGGAAUCUGCCCGAUAGUGGGGGAUAACCUGGGGAAACCCAGGCUAAUACCGCAUACGUCCUACGGGAGAAAGGGGGCUUCGGCUCCCGCUAUUGGAUGAGCCUAUGUCGGAUUAGCUAGUUGGUGAGGUAAAGGCUCACCAAGGCAACGAUCCGUAGCUGGUCUGAGAGGAUGAUCAGCCACAUCGGGACUGAGACACGGCCCGAACUCCUACGGGAGGCAGCAGUGGGGAAUAUUGGACAAUGGGGGCAACCCUGAUCCAGCCAUGCCGCGUGUGUGAAGAAGGCCCUCGGGUUGUAAAGCACUUUCAGCGAGGAAGAACGCCUGGCGGUUAAUACCCGCCAGGAAAGACAUCACUCGCAGAAGAAGCACCGGCUAACUCCGUGCCAGCAGCCGCGGUAAUACGGAGGGUGCAAGCGUUAAUCGGAAUUACUGGGCGUAAAGCGCGCGUAGGUGGCUUGAUAAGCCGGUUGUGAAAGCCCCGGGCUCAACCUGGGAACGGCAUCCGGAACUGUCAGGCUAGAGUGCAGGAGAGGAAGGUAGAAUUCCCGGUGUAGCGGUGAAAUGCGUAGAGAUCGGGAGGAAUACCAGUGGCGAAGGCGGCCUUCUGGACUGACACUGACACUGAGGUGCGAAAGCGUGGGUAGCAAACAGGAUUAGAUACCCUGGUAGUCCACGCCGUAAACGAUGUCGACCAGCCGUUGGGUGCCUAGAGCACUUUGUGGCGAAGUUAACGCGAUAAGUCGACCGCCUGGGGAGUACGGCCGCAAGGUUAAAACUCAAAUGAAUUGACGGGGGCCCGCACAAGCGGUGGAGCAUGUGGUUUAAUUCGAUGCAACGCGAAGAAUCUUACCUACUCUUG
rnacentral:rRNA from 2 species